AUUGAACGCUGGCGGCAGGCCUAACACAUGCAAGUCGAGCGGAUGAGUGGAGCUUGCUCCAUGAUUCAGCGGCGGACGGGUGAGUAAUGCCUAGGAAUCUGCCUGGUAGUGGGGGACAACGUUUCGAAAGGAACGCUAAUACCGCAUACGUCCUACGGGAGAAAGCGGGGGGAUCUUCGGACCUCGCGCCAUUAGAUGAGCCUAGGUCGGAUUAGCUAGUUGGUGAGGUAAUGGCUCACCAAGGCGACGAUCCGUAACUGGUCUGAGAGGAUGAUCAGUCACACUGGAACUGAGACACGGUCCAGACUCCUACGGGAGGCAGCAGUGGGGAAUAUUGGACAAUGGGCGAAAGCCUGAUCCAGCCAUGCCGCGUGUGUGAAGAAGGUCUUCGGAUUGUAAAGCACUUUAAGUUGGGAGGAAGGGUAGUAACCUAAUACGUUGCUACUUUGACGUUACCGACAGAAUAAGCACCGGCUAACUUCGUG
rnacentral:rRNA from 1 species